GUCCAAAUUUUGGGUAGUUUUGCAAUAUGCACAAGCAUCUACGCCGGGAGUUACCUACAGAGUGGAAAUGUAAAGAUUUAUUUGAUUUUCGAAGAAAUUGGAUGUAAAAAAAUGUAUCACAUUCAAGCAAGCGCUGGAAUACCGCUGUCAGUGUUGGUUUCGGUAAACAUUGUAUUUGUGUUGCUGUUGUUCAUGGAACCGACUUUUACCGGAAUGAGUGAAACACCAACCAAAAAAGGUUCUUCUUGGAAUUUAUGCAGAGAUUUUUAUUUUGUUGGGGUUCUAAAGACUUUUUGACAGAUCAAGAAGAAAUUCUUUGAAAUAUCCAAAGGAUCAAAUUGAAACGGAAUUUCUUAGUAAAUCAAGAAAAUGAAAAGUUACUUUGGUAAAUCAAAUUUAUCACAAAAUGAAUAAAUCAAUGAGUUUCAGCGUUAAACUUAAAAAUAAAACGUCAUUUCAUAUGAUUAUCAAUAAUAUUUCAAUGUUCAUAUUUAUUAUUCAAUGACAGUAUAUCAAUCAAAGUACAGUAAUAGGUAAUAAUAUCUCUCUCUUUCUGUUUCCGUUGAUCAUUCACGGAACAAAUAUUUCUGUCUGUUCUCCUAUGAAUUGUGUGUGUGUUUUAUCGAAUAAAACUCUGCAUAUUUGAAUAUAAAAGGAACGAAAAUAAAAACGAUGCAAGAAAAACAGGAAUAAAUUGAAAUAGAAUUCAUCAGUGGAUUUUUAUUUAAAAUUUGUUUUGGGUGAUAGAAAAAAAAACAAGGAAUUACAUUGUAAAUAAACAAUUUGAAUGGAACUUAAGCGGAAAAUUCAAUCAAUCAGAGAAAAAUAAUAAUAAUACAAU